AGAGUUUGAUCCUGGCUCAGGACGAACGCUGGCGGCGUGCUUAACACAUGCAAGUCGAACGGGCCCGCCCCUUUGGGGGUGGGUUGAGUGGCGAACGGGUGAGUAUCACGUGAGUAACCUGCCCCCUGCUCCUGGAUAACUGCUUGAAAGGGCGGCUAAUACGGGGUGUGCCGGCUGGUCCGCAUGGGCCUGGUCGGGAUAGUUUCAUCUUCGGGUGUUUCGGUGGGGGAUGGGCUCGCGGCCUAUCAGCUUGUUGGUGGGGUGAUGGCCUACCAAGGCGGUGACGGGUAGCCGGCCUGAGAGGGUGGGCGGCCACACUGGGACUGAGACACGGCCCAGACUCCUGCGGGAGGCAGCAGUGGGGGGUAUUGCACAAUGGGCGGAAGCCUGAUGCAGCGACGUCGCGUGAGGGAUGGAGGCCUUCGGGUUGUGAACCUCUUUCUCCGGUGGUGAAGGCCCUGUCCGUUGCGGCGGGGUUGACGGUAGCCGGGUAUGAAGCGCCGGCUAACUACGUGCCAGCAGCCGCGGUGAUACGUAGGGCGCGAGCGUUGUCCGGAAUUAUUGGGCGUAAAGGGCUUGUAGGCGGCUGGUCGCGUCUGCCGUGAAAUUCUCCGGCUCAACCGGGGGCUUGCGGUGGGUACGGGCCGGCUGGAGUGCGGUAGGGGAGGCUGGAACUCCUGGUGUAGCGGUGGAAUGCGCAGAUAUCAGGAGGAACACCGGUGGCGAAGGCGGGUCUCUGGGCCGUUACUGACGCUGAGGAGCGAAAGCGUGGGGAGCGAACAGGAUUAGAUACCCUGGUAGUCCACGCCGUAAACGUUGGGCACUAGGUGUGGGGGCUCUUUCCGGGGUCUCCGCGCCGUAGCUAACGCAUUAAGUGCCCCGCCUGGGGAGUACGGCCGCAAGGCUAAAACUCAAAGGAAUUGACGGGGGCCCGCACAAGCGGCGGAGCAUGCGGAUUAAUUCGAUGCAACGCGAAGAACCUUACCA
rnacentral:rRNA from 1 species